rnacentral:tRNA from 1 species
AUGCGGAGUAGAGGAAUUGGUCAACUCAUCAGGCUCAUGACCUGAAGAAUGCAGGUUCGAAUCCUGUCUCCGCCUA